UAUUUCUGCUACCCCUUUCCAAUCCCAUCUGAGAAGAGAAGCUAAACAGAGCUGGACUUGGUUAAUUCUUUGAUGGGAAACUAUCUGGGAAUGCCAAAUGCUCUAAAGU
rnacentral:rRNA from 1 species